rnacentral:rRNA from 1 species
UAUUGGGCGUAAAGCGCGCGCAGGCGGUUCCUUAAGUCUGAUGUGAAAGCCCCCGGCUCAACCGGGGAGGGUCAUUGGAAACUGGGGAACUUGAGUGCAGAAGAGGAGAGCGGAAUUCCACGUGUAGCGGUGAAAUGCGUAGAGAUGUGGAGGAACACCAGUGGCGAAGGCGGCUCUCUGGUCUGUAACUGACGCUGAGGCGCGAAAGCGUGGGGAGCGAACAGGAUUAGAUACCCUGGUAGUCCACGCCGUAAACGAUGAGUGCUAAGUGUUAGAGGGUUUCCGCCCUUUAGUGCUGCAGCAAACGCAUUAAGCACUCCCGCCCUGGGGAGUACGGCCGCAA